rnacentral:rRNA from 1 species
GACAGAGGUCCCGAGCGUUAGGCGGAAUCACUGGGCUUAAAGCGUGUGUAGGCGGAUCGUUAAGUGUCUUGUGAAAUCCCAUGGCUUAACCAUGGAACUGCUUGGCAUACUGGCGGUCUUGAGCCACUUAGGGGCAACCGGAACAAAUGGUGGAGCGGUGAAAUGCGUAGAUAUCAGGAGGAACACCGGUGGCGAAGGCGGGUCUCUGGGCCGAAACUGACGCUGAGGAGCGAAAGCGUGGGGAGCAAACAGG